AUGCUAUCUGGUGUCAGCCCAAUGCAGACUGAGGCGCGCUGUGCCCGGAACCACAGGAAGCCGGGCAUCUCUGCAGCCUGUGUCCCUGCCAGCUCCCCCUACGCGCUGAAAUUCGGCAGGGAAGAAGUUAUGGUGCCCAGCCUCUGUGUGCAAGACAGAGACACCGCGCAUCAUGGCUCUGAAAAUCAGCCAAGUGGCCGGGACGUCAAAGCGGCAGGGCAAUCAGAAUGCCCUGGAGCCGGGGAUGGAGGGGCCACAUUGUUUGAGCCCUCGGAUUUUGCUGCAUUGUCAACCGCCCGGGAACGUAGGGGUAGCAGGAAGCGCACCUCCGGCCAAAAAUGGACCGGACCCAUGUUUUUCCCCCGGCGGCUCCCUCCCUGCCUGUCUGCAAGUCGCAAUACGAUCAGAUUUAUUUGGAGGAAACAACCCACAACCCAAAGGAUGGGAUUUUACAUUUCAAGACAUCUCCCAGAAUGUCUCUCUGGCUUCCUCUCCCUCUCAGAGACCCAGUUUGGAACUGCAACCCUGAGGUAACUCACCCUUGCGAGAUCUUGACUUGGAAGUCAGCAAUGUAAAGAAAGAGGCAUCAGUUUGUGAGGCAUCAGUUUGACUGGUGAGGGCAGCAGCAGAAGCCUCCAGCUGUUGGAGUAGGCAGUGGCUACAAUGUGGACAGAAGUGCUUUCCACCAAGGGUCAAGACAGACACACAGGAGAAGUGAGAGAACAUGUCUCAUAUUGUAUUACAUACAGCAAAACUGCAUUUCCCAAACUCCUCUUCUCUCAGUGGGUCACAAGACUUGUUCUAGCCAAUAGAACAAGGGUGGAAGUAAUGCGACCACUUUCAGCAAGCCCCUAAAGUCUCCUGUGAGACCUUCCAAUCUUGCUCUCCUCUCUCUGCAUGGCUGGAAGUGAAUACUCUGAUAACUGAAACCACAUGAUGAAGGAGCCAGGAUGCCUAAGUUCACCACUUGGAGAAGAGACACCUUGAAGAGUCAUUCUGGAGAGCUGGCUGACCAAACUCAUUGGAUUUUAACAUAUAUGAGAAUAUAAACCUAUUACUGUGAUAUGCCACAGGCACAUUAUGGAUUGUAUUACAAUGACUAGUAUUAGCUCUCCUGAUUAACAGACAUCGUGACAAGAUUCUUUAUUGCUAUAAGAAAAAAAAAGCAAUGGCUGAUACCAUUUAAAAUAAAACUUACAAUUAGGGCAGUUCAGUUUGAAAUGUGUUUAUGAAGUUAUUUCAUAGCACUAAUUACAGUUCUAACAAUACUUAUUUCUGUAGGUGUAUUUUCAGUUCUCUACUAAGUAGUAAGCUCUGUGGGACUGGAAGUUGUACAUGUUUUGUUCUUCACUGCAGAGCUCAUACUCCUCAGAGUACAGGACCCAUGGUGGGAAAUAUUAGCUUCAUGAAUGAGUGAAUCAAUGACUACACACAAGGUUUGAUAAUUAGCAUCCAGAAUAACAAAGAUGAAUACAAUGAAUUAAUGAUUCAUAGUGAGUCUUAGUCAAGUAUACAAAAAGAACAAGAUGAAAUGUAACAUAAUUGUGAUAUUAUGAAGAACUUGGUCUUCACCCCUGUUUACUGUCAUACACACAAUUCCUAAGAUGCUUGGAAUCUCCAAAGUGCUGUCUCUUUGUACGCUAAUGUUGACUGAUAGCUUCAGGAUGGAGGUGGUCACCAGAAUGGCAAAGGCAUGAUUAGAGGGUUGUAACUUCUGGGCCCACCUCCCCAACUUCCAGGGAGGAGAGCGGGGCUGAAAGACCAACUGAUCAGCAGUGGCCCAUGGUUUGAUCAUAAUGAAGCCUCCAUAAAAACACAAGAGGACAGAGUUUGGCAAGCUGUUAGAUAGCUGAACGCAUGGAGGCUCCAAGAGGAUGGCAUGCCCAGUGAGGGCAUGGAAGCUUCACACCCCUUUCUUCAUACCUUACCAUACACAUCUCUUCAUCUAUAUUCGUUGUAAUAUCUUUUAUAAUAAACCAGUAAAUGUAAGUAA